UAAAAGAUAAGCUAAACUAAGCUAGUGGGCUCAUACCUCAUUUAUAAAGGUUGAUCCUUUUCUUUUGA
rnacentral:tRNA from 1 species